ACUCAAAGGAAUAGACGGGGGCCCGCACAAGCGGUGGAGCAUGUGGUUUAAUUCGAUGCAACGCGAAAAACCUUACCUGGGCUUGAACUGUGGUCGCAAACUCAUGAAAGUGAGUCCUCCUUCGGGACGGCCAUAGAGGUGCUGCAUGGCUGUCGUCAGCUCGUGCCGUGAGGUGUUGGGUUAAGUCCCGCAACGAGCGCAACCCUUGCCCUUAGUUGCCAACAGGUUAUGCUGGGAACUCUAAGGGGACUGCCCCAGACAAUGGGGAGGAAGGUGGGGACGACGUCAAGUCAUCAUGGCCCUUACGUCCAGGGCUACACACGUGCUACAAUGGCCGGUACAAUGGGAAGCAAUACCGCGAGGUGGAGCAAAUCCUAAAAACCGGUCUCAGUUCAGAUUGCAGUCUGCAACUCGACUGCAUGAAGUCGGAAUCGCUAGUAAUCGUGGAUCAGCAUGCCACGGUGAAUACGUUCCCGGGCCUUGUACACACCGCCCGU
rnacentral:rRNA from 1 species